rnacentral:tRNA from 1 species
ACUUAAAUAGUUUAAAUUAAGAAUUUCAAUUUGUGGUGUUGAAGGUGCAAUUUUUGUUUUAAGUA